CUGCUGCUAUCGGCUGUGUUUGUGUGAUAUCUGAGCUGGUAUCUGAAAAGAUGUUUAUUCCUGUUUGUUCGUGAUGAUUGAUGCAGAUGUAACAUCCAGAUGUUAGUAAUUGACCUCAAAUCUCAGAAUUCAGUCAGACUCAGCCCAGCGAUGAUGCUGAUGAUCAGACAAUGCUAGGAGAAGUCACGACUACAAGAAAAGGUGUGCACACAUUGCACAAUGUUAUAGGUACAACAGAGGAUAGAAUGCAGUGUAAAGACUAAACAAAAUGUUCAUUAGUGAAAUAUUAUAGGGAAAUGUAAUGAUUGCAACAUAUGGAGAAUGAGACAUUAAAUUGGAAAGACAUGCUGUCUUAGUGUAACAUAAGUGUGGAUUAUUCAUAUGCAACUCAUUGGUAACACUUUACUUGAAGGGGUGUGCAUAAGACUGACAUGACACCUUCAUAAUCAUGACAUGAAACAUGUCAUGCAUAUGAAGGAGGUUUUAUGCAUGUUUAUGACAUCUGUCAUUAAGGACACUUCCUCUGUGCCCCUGAGGUAAAUACACUAUUCUCUGUGCCCCUGAGGUAAAGACACUAUUCUCUGUGCCUCUGAGGUAAAGACACUACUCUCUGUGCCCCUGAGGUAAAGACACUACUCUCUGUGCCCUAAGAGAAGGACACUUCCUCUGUGCCCCUGAGGUAAAGACACUAUUCUCUGUGCCCCUGAGAGAAGGACACUAUUCUCUGUGCCUCUGAGGUAAAGACACUACUCUCUGUGCCCCUGAGGUAAAGACACUAUUCUCUGUGCCUCUGAGGUAAAGACACUACUCUCUGUGCCCCUGAGGUAAAGACACUACUCUCUGUGCCCUAAGAGAAGGACACUUCCUCUGUGCCCCUGAGGUAAAGACACUACUCUCUGUGCCCCUGAGGUAAAGACACUACUCUCUGUGCCCCUGAGGUAAAGACACUACUCUCUGUGCCCCUGAGGUAAAGACACUACUCUCUGUGCCCCUGAGGUAAAGACACUACUCUCUGUGCCCCUGAGGUAAAGACACUACUCUCUGUGCCCCUGAGGUAAAGACACUACUCUCUGUGCCCCUGAGGUAAAGACACUACUCUCUGAGCCCCUGAGGUAAAGACACUACUCUCUGUGCCCCUGAGGUAAAGACACUACUCUCUGUGCCCCUGAGGAAAAGACACUACUCUCUGUGCCCCUAAGAGAAGGACACUUCCUCUGUGCCCCUGAGGUAAAGACACUACUCUCUGUGCCCCUAAGAGAAGGACACUUCCUCUGUGCCCCUGAGGUAAAGACACUACUCUCUGUGCCUCUGAGGUAAAGACACUAUUCUCUGUGCCCCUAAGAGAAGGACACUUCCUCUGUGCCCCUGAGGUAAAGACACUAUUCUCUGUGCCCCUGAGAGAAGGACACUAUUCUCUGUGCCUCUGAGGUAAAGACACUACUCUCUGUGCCCCUGAUGUAAAGACACUACUCUCUGUGCCCCUGAGGUAAAGACACUAUUCUCUGUGCCCCUAAGAGAAGGACACUUCCUCUGUGCCCCUGAGGUAAAGACACUAUUCUCUGUGCCCCUGAGAGAAGGACACUACUCUCUGUGCCUCUGAGGUAAAGACACUACUCUCUGUGCCCCUGAGGUAAAGACACUAUUCUCUGUGCCCCUAAGAGAAGGACACUUCCUCUGUGCCCCUGAGGUAAAGACACUACUCUCUGUGCCCCUGAGGUAAAGACACUACUCUCUGUGCCCCUGAGGUAAAGACACUACUCUCUGUGCCCCUGAGAGAAGGACACUACUCUCUGUGCCUCUGAGGUAAAGACACUACUCUCUGUGCCCCUGAGGUAAAGACACUAUUCUCUGUGCCCCUGAGAGAAGGACACUUCCUCUGUGCCCCUGAGGUAAAGACACUACUCUCUGUGCCCCUGAGGUAAAGACACUAUUCUCUGUGCCCCUAAGAGAAGGACACUUCCUCUGUGCCCCUGAGGUAAAGACACUACUCUCUGUGCCCCUGAGGUAAAGACACUACUCUCUGUGCCUCUGAGGUAAAGACACUACUCUCUGUGCCCCUGAGGUAAAGACACUACUCUCUGUGCCCCUGAGGUAAAGACACUAUUCUCUGUGCCCCUAAGAGAAGGACACUUCCUCUGUGCCUCUGAGGUAAAGACACUACUCUCUGUGCCCCUGAGGUAAAGACAAUACUCUCUGUGCCCCUGAGGUAAAGACACAACUCUCUGUGCCCCUGAGGUAAAGACACUACUCUCUGUGCCUCUGAGGUAAAGACACUACUCUCUGUGCCUCUGAGGUAAAGACACUACUCUCUGUGCCCCUGAGGUAAAGACACUACUCUCUGUGCCCCUGAGGUAAAGACACUACUCUCUGUGCCUCUGAGGUAAAGACACUAUUCUCUGUGCCCCUAAGAGAAGGACACUACUCUCUGUGCCCCUGAGGUAAAGACACUAUUCUCUGUGCCCCUGAGGUAAAGACACUACUCUCUGUGCCCCUGAGGUAAAGACACUACUCUCUGUGCCUCUGAGGUAAAGACACUAUUCUCUGUGCCCCUAAGAGAAGGACACUACUCUCUGUGCCUCUGAGGUAAAGACACUAUUCUCUGUGCCCCUAAGAGAAGGACACUUCCUCUGUGCCUCUGAGGUAAAGACACUACUCUCUGUGCCCCUGAGGUAAAGACACUACUCUCUGUGCCCCUGAGGUAAAGACACUACUCUCUGUGCCUCUGAGGUAAAGACACUACUCUCUGUGCCCCUGAGGUAAAGACACUAUUCUCUGUGCCCCUAAGAGAAGGACACUACUCUCUGUGCCCCUGAGGUAAAGACACUACUCUCUGUGCCCCUAAGAGAAGGACACUACUCUCUGUGCCUCUGAGGUAAAGACACUACUCUCUGUGCCCCUAAGAGAAGGACAAUUAUCUCUGUAUAUAAUCAGAGGUCUAUAGUUCACUAUAAACCCAGGCUACUCAAAAUCCCUGAUAAAUGGUUUGUGGAACUCUUUGGAACUAUGUAUAUACUGUAAUAGUUCUCUACAAACCUUAUUCAAAGUGCCUGAUUUUCCAUUUAUUUAAUUACCUGUGUUAUUAGGUUGGUAUUGUCUACACUUCCAUUUCUAUAUACUGCACUUAAAUAUCUAUAGUUCCUUACAAAUGUAUUGAAAGUGCCUGGUUUUCCAGUGGUUGAUUGGCUUGUUGUAUUGCAUUAGCACUAUCCUUAGUUCCUUUCGAUGUGUAUACAAUGCUAUUACUUUGAUUUAUACAAAAAAUAUGUUCAUAUUUAAGGCUGGAAAUUAUGAAUGUAUAGAUUGAUAUGUAUAGCAGUUGAAUGGCCUGUUUAGGCCUGUAUUGACAAUGUCUAUAUGAUGUUACAUUGCAGCAUCUGUUUAUUAAUAGAAAACCCAUAAAAGCUUUAAACCUACACUUUUGUCAAUAAUGUGCAUUUUUCUAGUGCCGUCUAGUGAUCAGGUUUCAUAUUUCCGUUAAAUCCUUCCCAAAUGCUUAGACUUGGCUGGCGUUAGAACAGAUGGAGGAAUUCAAGAAACAUAGCAUAAUCUGGGUCUUCAUCCAGAUAAAAAAAAUUGAUUUAGUAUUUUAAAUUGACAUACAUUUUGUUUGUGUUAUUGAUAUAUGGGGGGUUGUUGUUGCAUUGGGCCGGUGCGGUAAGAAUUUUCCCGGUGGAUUUUAGUGCCCCACUC